rnacentral:lncRNA from 1 species
GCCGGGACCACGCGCUGGCGGCGGAGGGAUCCCCCGACCCUUCCCCCCAUAUAAAGAGAUACAAUGUUUCCUUUUAUGGCGAGGCCGCUCCUUAUAUGGUGAGCCCCAGCGCCCCCGCCCCAUUGGUCCGUGGUUCCGGCACCUCCGCUCCCCAUUGGCCCACAAGAGGGCGCUUAUUUGCAUAGACAUACCGAACUCGUUGCUGUCAUCUCGCGUCAGACCGCGACUCUGAGAGGGGUGGAGCCGACGCCUCUUAAAGGAACCGGAGAGCAGGCACGAUUCCGCCUCCCUGAACCCGAGAAUGAUAGAACGGUUUGGGAGGCACCCGCGGAGAAGGAGGCUGGGACUGGAGCGCAGUCUUGCGGAAGAGAGGGAGCAGCACUAGUAAAUGGGCACCGGGACCGCUGGAGGCAAACACUGGGGAAACCCCUGGGUGGAUUGUGGGGUUUGCAGUAAAUAAAAAAAUACAGCCCAAAUUCCAAGGGAGGAGUGCAGGGAUUGAUUGGAGCAUUUCCUCACGCCUUCCUAAGGGAGGCACAGUUAUUGGCUGAGCGGAGAGAGCUUGGGUCCCCGCCCGGUGUCCAGACUCGUCGCGCCCCAGCCUCUCAGCUCUAACUUUUCCCCUACCCCCAACUUCCCUUCCCUUUCCCUCGCUUUUGUAGGCGACGAAACUUUCCCACCGGGCUGGCUCGAGGAUCUUCAUUCAUCAUCCUCUGCACUGGGGGGUCUUUGGCAGACAUACAUCUGGAAAAGGCUGGUGGAGGGGAGGGCGAGAGAGAGAGAUCGGCCUCCCAGUCCUGAGGCGGGCAGGGAGGAGAGACGGAGAUCAGGGAGGAGAGAUGGAGAUCAGUGAAGACUUCCAGCUGCAGGCUGGACUUGGGGAGGAGGACGUCCCGAGGAUAAAGCCCACCCUACAGCCAGUGCAAAGACUUGGGAAAGUGUGGCCCGACAGAAAGUUUAAGCCCAAGCAAGCACGCUCGCGCACACACACGCACAUACACACACUUCUCUGGAAAGCCCGUUGGAGAAAAAAAAAAAAGUUUCACACAGGGUAUCGCUCUGUCGCCCAACCUGGAGUGCAGUGGCGGGAUCUGAGCUCAUUGCAACCUCUGCCUCCCGGGUUCAAGCGAUUCUCCCACCUCCGCCUCUCACGUAGCUGGAACUACAGGUGCGCGCCACCACUCUGGCCUAAUUUUUGUAUUUUUUGUAGAGAUGGGGUUUUGCCAUGUUGCCCAGACUGGUUUCGAACUCCUGGCCUCAAGCGAUCCUUCCCCCUCGGCUUCCCAAAGUGCUGGGAUUAUAGGCAUGAACCACCGUGCCCAGCAGAAAAAAAAAAAAAAAAAAAAAAAAACUUAAAAGAUUAGAACUGGGGUGCUGCAAAGUGAGGUUCAAGCUCUGGGUCUGGGUCUUUUCUCCAAAGCAGUGAAAAUAGCUUGGACUUUGCUGUUACAGAAUUAUUUAAAUCUGGAAUCUGCCUCUUGGUAAGCCCUGUGCCUGGAAACAAGUGACAAGUGAUCUGAUCUCUCCAGACGCAAUAUUCAUCAAUGCUGCUAUCCAUUCCCUGAGUUUUUUUUUUUUUUUUUUUUGAGACAGAGUCUCGCUCUGUCGCCCAGGCUGGAGUGCACUGGCACGAUCUCGACUCACUGCAACCUCUGCCUCCCCAGUUCAAGCGAUUCUCCUGCUGCCUCAGCUUCCCAAAUAGCUGGGAUUACAGGUGCCCACCACCACACCUGGCUAGUUAUUUUGUGUUUUUAGUAGAGAUGGGGUUUCGCCAUGUUGUCCAGGCUGGUCUCGAACUGCUGACCUCAAGUGAUCCUCCCACCUCGGUCUCCCAAGGUGCUGGGAUUACAGGCAUGAGCCACCAUGCCGGGCCUAUUCCAUGAAAUUCUUAAUGCAGAUUUAAUGACAUAAAGACUAAAGGGCAGAGUAAUUGGUCAGUGGUUAGGCAAUAGGAGUUACCUGGAGUAAGUCACCUCAUCCUAGGGAUAAAGCAUCUUGGCAUGUUUAAGGGGAUGGGAGGCAGUGAUUAUUCCUGCCCGAAAAAUUAUGGAGAUUAAAUAAAGCAGUUGAUUGUAACCUAGUCAUUACUGGUAGUGGUAGUGAUAUCAAUUCAGUAUACUACAAUCAACAUUUAAAAGAAUAAAUUAAUGGGUAUCACAAAAAGCAAGGGCAAAUAUUGUUGCAUAAAAUGUUUGUUUGCAUUAUAUAUAGGUUGAACCCUACAAAAUUGCCAUUUUAUAGGUCAAGAAGGUGGGAUAUUGUCAAUUUCUCAUAAUUCAGUGUAUGUGUGUAAUGGAUGACAAUAUUAACUGCAUUUCUUACUGUGAGUCACAAUCCAAAAGCUUGAAAAAUACUGAAAUAAAAUAUGUGCAAGUGAUCAGUAAAAUAUAGUGUGUAUUUUGUGUGUAUAGUGAAUAAAAUAUAGUGUGUAUUUUUUGUCAUAUAGAGAUAAGGUCUCCCUAUGUUGCCCAGGCUGGUCUCAAACUUCUGGGCUCAAGCGAUUCUCUCACCUCGGCCUCCCAAAGUGCUGGGAUUAAAGGCCUGAGCCACUGCACCCAGCCCCCAAUAGUUUUAAAGAGGUCUCCCCUCCCUCCACUAAUUUACUCUUUACAACAGGUACUUAAACAUAUGGAACGUGUUAGCCCAAGAGGAAGAACAGGUC